UUUCAGAGAAUAGUGGAAAUACGAUCCUCAGCUGUACGAUUUUGCAGCCAUGCUAUGCACCUGGAAAAACUGCCCUUCACACUAGAGUAUCUGUAACGUGCACCUUGAAAGAUACCGCAAGAGUAAAAGGGAUGGGAUCCUUCCUCUUCCUUCACUGUCCUCUUAAUCACAAGGGAUCAGUGUGUCCCAUGGGAUCAAAGGAAGGUGAAACUUUUGUGAUCACGAGGUGAGAACAGGUUUGUGCUGCAUCCUGUGGGACAUUAGAAUGAGCUGCCAAGAUAUGAAAUCAAUCCUGCCCCAAGACGGUAGCAAGACAGAUCUUUCCAGACAAAAUAUCUAUGCACAGAGCAUAUCACAGCCUCAAAGGAAGACAACAUGUCUCAAACUGCUGGAGAAGUCUUCCCUUGCAGACGACUUUCUGUGGGAGAUGAAUGGAGAUGCCAGAACAUCAUGGAUGACCUCCAGAGGGACCAAUCUCAUCAGAAAUCAGGUUUCAAAGGGCUGCUUCAUCACUCUUGUCCCAUGUGUGGAAGACAGGAAGAAAAUAAGUGAGUACGAAGUAUUUAUUUUCCAAUCUGACUGUAUUCCAAUGUUAUCUGUACAGAUACAAGCUGAAUCUGAAUUGGAAGGAAAUACAAUAUUAGAGGACAGUGGCCCAAUUCUUAUUUAAAUUUUGGCUACUUUGUAUUACUUGGCAAUAAAGGGACUUCGAAUCGCGUGCAAACAGUCUCCUUAAGCUAAACUGGCAUACGUACGUAAAAGAAAUAUAAAUGAUAGGGCAUCCACUGAUAUUAAAGUACAAAUAAAAUAUGGUAUCUUAGAAUGAGAACAAUUUAACUUUCCU